GCUUAAUUCGAGUUUUUUAACAUAUAGAAAAAAGGAAACUAAAUAUUACCAUAAAUAGUAAAAAAUAACUUAAAAUUGAAUUUUGGAAAGGAAAACAGUGGAUUUUGGGCUUGAAAUUGACGUCCACCAAGCAAAGCUGGGGUGGCCACGACAUGCGCGCCGAAGAGAGCUUUCCGGAUUGGGGUCAUAAUAGCGAUUCCGAUAACCGUAGCCAAAGUUAUGGCCAAAUUACCAAAGACGCGUCAAAUUCCCCCAAUUAAGGAAAUAAUGGUGAUUCACUUUCUAUCUUUGCGCCGAUCCGCCAUCUCAUGGUAUCUCAGCGCUAUCAUCGUGCUAUCUGACAAAUCAGCAUCACUCGACUCGGAUCCUCCUGCAUCAGUCGCCCCGGGUUGGAAAGAACUCGCCCUCGAGUUCACAGUAACUUCAUCGGACUCCAUAAAACAAGGGCUGAGGUAUUUUACAUUGAAGACGUCAGAGGUCUUCAAAUGGCUCGGGAGGCGCAAUCUGUAAGCAUUAUCAUUGAUCUUUUGCAGCACUUCACAAGGUCCAAUCUUCCGCUCCUUUAACUUAUUGUAUUUCCCAGCGGGAAAACAAUCACAAGUUAAUAUUGCCCAAACAAAAUCACCAACAUCAAACAACACCUGGCGUCGAUGACUAUCUGCCUGAACUUUGUACUUAGUAUUAUUAUCCUGUAUGGACAGCUUCACCUGCUCAUGGAUGCCUCAAAGAUGUUCAGCCAUCUCAUCAACUUUAUUAUUGAAGCGACCCACACGUGGAAUUGGAGCCAAAUCAAGUACUCUGGAUGGGUUUCGACCAUAGACAAUUUCAAAAGGACUCAGUCCGGUGGUUCUAUUCCUCGACCGGUUAUAAGCAAACUCUGCUUGAGGUAAUGCCAAAUCCCACUGCUUCGGUUUAGUCCCGGCUAAACUUCUCAAAAGAUUUCCCAAACUCCGAUUCACCACCUCAGUCUGACCAUCUGUUUGGGGAUGGUAUACGCUGCUAAAAUUCAAUUUCGUUCCAAGUUUCUCCUACAAACUCCUCCAGAAAUGACUCAUAAACUUAGUAUCACGAUCAGAAGUAAUUGACUCUGCAACACCAUGUAAACGCACAAUCUCUCUGAAAUAAAGAUGAGCAAUUCGAGUAGCAUCCAUUGUCUUCCGGCAAGCCACAAAAUGAGCCAUCUUCGAAAAUCUGUCAACCACAACAAGAAUGGAAUCCAUCGCCCGCUGUGUACGAGGUAAGCCUAAGACAAAAUCCAUACUGACAUCAAACCAAGGAGCUUCAGGUACGAGUAAUGGUGUGUACAAUCCAGCAUUAGUAAGAGCCCCUGUAGAUCGUUGACAUACAUAACACCGCUCCACAUAAUGCGCCACAUCACUGCUCAACUUGGGCCAGUAAUAAUCAGAAGAGACCAAUGCCAAUGUCUUGUCUCGCCCAAAAUGUCCUUCGUUAUGAAGUUCACUAAUAAUCUGCUGCCUUAGUGAACAAUCCGGAAUGCAUAACUGCAAUCCACGAAACAGGUAACCAUUAUGUAAAAUAAAAUCAUGUCGGUGAUUAUCAGUUACUUCCCGAAUUAUCUUCCCAAAUGAAGGAUCCGCAGCAUACAUAUCAGGAAAUGCCUCAAAUCCGACAAUCUUGGUGCUCAUGGUGGUGAGGAGUAAUGUGCGACGACUCAAUGCAGCUGCUACUCGAUUCAAACUCCCUGCUUGAUGCCUGAGUGUGAAAGUAAACUUCUGCAAGUAUGCCACCCACUUUGCAUGUCGCCUACUCAACUUGUGCUGACCAUUGAUAUACUUCAAAGCCUCAUGAUCAGUAACAAGGAUGAACUCCUUCUGUACCAGGUAAUGGCGCCAAUGCUUCAGAGUCUAAACUAUGGCAUAG
rnacentral:lncRNA from 1 species